rnacentral:lncRNA from 1 species
CAAGCACAUGAUGCAUGAGAUGAAUAUGAGCAUGCAUCACUAUUUCUAUCACUAUCACAAGCAAAAGAAGCUAAUACAUGUUCCUGGACAGAACUGUAACUUAAGCUAUUCUGUCAUGCAUGAGAAUGACAUGAUCAGAUGCGUCUCGAGAAAACGAUGCAAAUGCAUAUAAAGAACUCUACAAACGGAGCUACGGAUCAACGGGAAUCAAAGAAACAAGAUAUGAAGACCUACGUAUCAAAAUCAUCACCACACACCCAAUUGGCACAACCCUGGUGUUUCCAGGUUGGCAAGACAUAUAACAACCCAACAUGCAUGGAUUGGAGCAAGGAAGAACACCACAUCACCAACUAAGCACUCACAAAUAUCAAAAUGACAAAACUACACAAUCUGCCAUAAUCUGCAUCUUAGCACUUUGUGAGCUACAUGCAACAUAGCUACAGCCCUCCAAAUAUGACAAAUAAUAUAUGUGGCUGUGGCCAACCAAGAAUACUACAAGCACAAGCAAUAAUCACACAAAAAGGAAUUAAUCACAUGAAGAUACAAGGCUGCAAACUUUCCCAAAACCAUCAGAUUUCAGGGACUGAAAAUUCCUGCACCUGAGUCUCUAUCUUUGUUCUGAAGCUUUUUGACAGAUGCCAAAACAUAACCUACAGGAUUGAAA